rnacentral:lncRNA from 10 species
GAAACCACCAAGGAGAUCAACUUGGCAAGAUUUUCACUUCAGAUUCCCCUGACCUCUACAACAAGUUUGGUUGUCUCAUAUUCUCUCCAGUUCCUUAGGCCAGCUCAAGUUUUAUCAGUAUCUUUUGGACCCAAUGAGUCCUUCCUGGCCUCACUCCAGAAGAAGACUGGCCUCAGUCCAGAGAAACAAAAAAUGUGAAAUUCACCCACUGGAACUCUCCUUCUCCAAGUAUCAGUCUCCUUCCAGAAUUUCCGGCUUCUGGUCUCUUUUCAAGGAAUUUAGAAGUUUCCCAAAUGGCUCUUCAGAUAAUUAAUAUAGUGGAACUUGUACAUGGGAUAGGAAACCAAGUUCCUAAGCAAGUAUGACUGGCUUGAGUAUCACCCUAAACCAAGGUAAUGCAAGAGCAGAUAAGAAUAAAAAUAGUGGUAAUUAUAAUAAUACUGUAAAUAGAAUAUCCAAUGUGCCAGAGAUGAUUCUGGCACAAUGGCAGGCUUUGCCUAGGUGAAGAAAAUUAUACUUCAUGAGAAUGCCAGAGUUUUCAAUCUAUUUUGAGCCUUAGGAUCAAUAGAUGUUUGCCCACUGAUGCACUUUUG